GAGGAACAACUGUGAUUCUUCUUCGAACAGAUGCGAUUCUUCUUCGAUUGCGUGUUAGCUUCAGCAAUUUCAGUAUUAACUUCAGCAAUAUCUUUAUCGAUUUGCAGAGAAAUUUAGUUUCAGAAAAUGGUGAAGUGAAGAAUGGGUUGAAACGAGAUUUAGUUGCAGUUGAUAAACAAGUUUAUUAUGACAGUCUAGCAUCCAUUGCUUAACAGGUUUAUUUUGAAGCACUCCUAGAAAAAGGACAGUAGAGAAAGAUGCGGCAGAAAUCUUGCAGGAAAUUCCAGACAUAUCUAUCAUGGAUUGAUUAAACUAGUACUCAAAUCCAAGGACUCUUUUUUCAGUUUUUGGCAUCAUAGAUUCAGAUGGCUUGGCACCAAACUUGUUGCAUUUGAAUUAGUACUUUUUUGUGUUAACUGUUAACUAUCUUCUAUCUUUUGUUGCUUUUGAAUUACUGAAUUAGUACUCUUUUGUGUUAAGAAUCGC